AUUGAACGCUGGCGGCAGGCUUAACACAUGCAAGUCGAGCGGUAGCAGAGAGAAGCUUGCUUCUCUGCUGACGAGCGGCGGACGGGUGAGUAAUGCCUAGGAAUCUGCCUAGUAGUGGGGGAUAACUUGCCGAAAGGUAAGCUAAUACCGCAUACGUACUACGGGAGAAAGGAGGGGACCUUCGGGACUUUCGCUAUUAGAUGAGCCUUGGUCGGAUUAGUUAGUUGGGGAGGUAAUGGCUCACCAAGACCGCGAUCCGUAACUGGUCUGAGAGGAUGAUCAGUCACACUGGAACUGAGACACGGUCCAGACUCCUACGGGAGGCAGCAGUGGGGAAUAUUGGACAAUGGGGGGAACCCUGAUCCAGCCAUGCCGCGUGUGUGAAGAAGGUCUUAGGAUUGUAAAGCACUUUAAGUUGGGAGGAAGAGCAGUUAACUAAUAUUUGACUGUUUUGACGUUACCGACAGAAUAAGCACCGGCUAACUUCGUGCCAGCCGCCGCAGUAA
rnacentral:rRNA from 1 species